rnacentral:rRNA from 1 species
GAUGAACGCUGGCGGCGUGCCUAAUACAUGCAAGUCGAGCGAACAGAUGAGGAGCUUGCUCCUCUGACGUUAGCGGCGGACGGGUGAGUAACACGUGGAUAACCUACCUAUAAGACUGGGAUAACUUCGGGAAACCGGAGCUAAUACCGGAUAAUAUAUUGAACCGCAUGGUUCAAUAGUGAAAGACAGUUUUGCUGUCACUUAUAGAUGGAUCCGCGCCGCAUUAGCUAGUUGGUAAGGUAACGGCUUACCAAGGCAACGAUGCGUAGCCGACCUGAGAGGGUGAUCGGCCACACUGGAACUGAGACACGGUCCAGACUCCUACGGGAGGCAGCAGUAGGGAAUCUUCCGCAAAGGGCGAAAGCCUGACGGAGCAACGCCGCGUGAGUGAUGAAGGUCUUCAGAUCGUAAAACUCUGUUAUUAGGGAAGAACAAAUGUGUAAGUAACUAUGCACGUCUUGACGGUACCUAAUCAGAAAGCCACGGCUAACUACGUG